rnacentral:lncRNA from 1 species
AAUAGUUCAAUUUCUUGAUCCUCAACUGACAAGAAGUAACAAGAAAAUGAAGUGUUUCAAGUACACUUUUGUCUUGGUCAUUCUAAUAAUCCUCUUUAUUUUCUUGUCCAAUAACUGCAUGAAAGUUGAGGGAUUGAGACCCCUAUCUUUCUACCCAAUGGUAGAGAAUUUGGUUUUACAGAGAGCAUACUCUGGGCCAAGUCGCCGUGGACGAGGUCACUAGUAGGAAUUUCAAAAUUGUAUUUGGUUUUGUUUUUGUUAAUUAACUUCUUUAGGAGUUUUAUGAGCCCAGAAGACAAGAUAUAGACAGGUUGCACUUACCAUAAUUGAUCCAUUUUUCUGCUUAUAAAUGUAUACAAUUCUUCCACGCAAUGUAAAGAUCAUUUGAGCAUC